GAGAAAUUCCAAUCGAACUUGGAGAUAGCUGGUUCUCUCCGAAAUAGCUUUAGGGCUAGCCUCGAGGUAAAGAGUCAUGGAGGUAGAGCACUGUUUGGACUAGGGGCCCUUCUCGGGUUACCGAAUUCAGAUAAACUCCGAAUGCCAUGUACUUAUACUCGGGAGUCAGACUGCGAGUGAUAAGAUCCGUAGUCGAAAGGGAAACAGCCCAGACCACCAGUUAAGGUCCCCAAAUAUAUGUUAAGUGGAAAAGGAUGUGGGGUUGCUUAGACAACCAGGAUGUUGGCUUAGAAGCAGCCACCAUUGAAAGAGUGCGUAAUAGCUCACUGGUCGAGUGACCCCGCGCCGAAAAUGUACCGGGGCUAAACAUAUUACCGAAACUGUGGAUGAACCUCUUUAGAGGUUCGUGGUAGGAGAGCGUUCUAAGGGCGGUGAAGUCAGACCGGAAGGACUGGUGGAGCGCUUAGAAGUGAGAAUGCCGGUAUGAGUAGCGAAAGAAGGGUGAGAAUCCCUUCCACCGAAUAUCUAAGGUUUCCUGAGGAAGGCUCGUCCGCUCAGGGUUAGUCGGGACCUAAGCCGAGGCCGAUAGGCGUAGGCGAUGGACAACAGGUAGAGAUUCCUGUACCAGUGCUAAUUGUUUAACCGAUGGGGUGACACAGAAGGAUAGGGAAUCGCACGAAUGGAAAUGUGCGUCCAAGCAGUGAGUGUGAGAAGUAGGCAAAUCCGCUUCUCGCGAAGCAUGAGCUGUGAUGGGGAAGGAAAUUAAGUACGGAAGUUCCUGAUUUCACGCUGUCAAGAAAAGCCUCUAGGAAGAGUAGUACUGCCCGUACCGCAAACCGACACAGGUAGAUGAGGAGAGAAUCCUAAGGUGAGCGAGAGAACUCUCGUUAAGGAACUCGGCAAAAUGACCCCGUAACUUCGGGAGAAGGGGUGCUCUAUUAGGGUGCAAGCCCGAGAGAGCCGCAGUGAAUAGGCCCAGGCGACUGUUUAGCAAAAACACAGGUCUCUGCAAAACCGUAAGGUGACGUAUAGGGGCUGACGCCUGCCCGGUGCUGGAAGGUUAAGAGGAGUGCUUAGCUUCGGCGAAGGUACGAAUUGAAGCCCCAGUAAACGGCGGCCGUAACUAUAACGGUCCUAAGGUAGCGAAAUUCCUUGUCGGGUAAGUUCCGACCCGCACGAAAGGCGCAACGAUCUGGGCACUGUCUCAACGAGAGACUCGGUGAAAUUAUAGUACCUGUGAAGAUGCAGGUUACCCGCGACAGGACGGAAAGACCCCGUGGAGCUUUACUGCAACCUGAUAUGGAAUGUUUGUACCGCUUGUACAGGAUAGGUAGGAGCCGAAGAGACGUGUGCGCUAGCAUACGAGGAGGCAAUGGUGGGAUACUACCCUGGCUGUAUGACCAUUCUAACCCGCCACGCUUAGCGCGUGGGGAGACAGUGUCAGGUGGGCAGUUUGACUGGGGCGGUCGCCUCCUAAAGAGUAACGGAGGCGCCCAAAGGUUCCCUCAGAAUGGAUGGAAAUCAUUCGCAGAGUGUAAAGGCACAAGGGAGCUUGACUGCGAGACUGACAAGUCGAGCAGGGACGAAAGUCGGGCUUAGUGAUCCGGUGGUUCCGCAUGGAAGGGCCAUCGCUCAACGGAUAAAAGCUACCCCGGGGAUAACAGGCUUAUCUCCCCCAAGAGUCCACAUCGACGGGGAGGUUUGGCACCUCGAUGUCGGCUCGUCGCAUCCUGGGGCUGUAGUCGGUCCCAAGGGUUGGGCUGUUCGCCCAUUAAAGCGGCACGCGAGCUGGGUUCAGAACGUCGUGAGACAGUUCGGUCCCUAUCCGUCGCGGGCGCAGGAAAUUUGAGAGGAGCUGUCCUUAGUACGAGAGGACCGGGAUGGACACACCGCUGGUGUACCAGUUGUUCCGCCAGGAGCAUCGCUGGGUAGCUAUGUGUGGCAGGGAUAAACGCUGAAAGCAUCUAAGCGUGAAGCCCCCCUCAAGAUGAGAUUUCCCAUUUCUUCGGAAAGUAAGAUCCCUGAAAGAUGAUCAGGUAGAUAGGUUUGGAGUGGAAGUGUAGCGAUACAUGGAGCGGACAAAUACUAAUCGAUCGAGGACUUAACCAAAA
rnacentral:rRNA from 1 species